rnacentral:lncRNA from 1 species
GCAAUUUGAGACACUUUUGUUGUUGUUGCCACCAUAUAAUUUGGCUUUACUAGCUUCUUUUGAUCAAGCAUAGUUUCUUUAACACCCUUAAUGUACUUUGGACCACUCAAUAUGAAGAGUAAAGAUCAUUGCUCCUCACACUUCUCAUGCUUGUCUUAACUCUCACAUGAGUUUGCAGUACCACGGUUGUUGGGCGUGGGGUAGUAACUCAUAAGGUUGAUUGGUUUCAACUUUCAAGCAACCUUUCAUGAUUUUAUGUAGAAAUGAAAACGAGGAUGUAACUGUCGUAGUUGCAUAAUGUAGCUGAAAAAAUAGGUCAUGAAAUAUUCAUUUUCUCGUGAAUCUUAUAACUACACAUUAAUUGAAUCCUUAGUUUCCUUGUCUAAUAUGCAAUCUCUAUAAAUAUUUUGUUUUCUUCA